UACGUAGGCAGCGAGCGUUGUUCGGAAUUACUGGGCGUAAAGAGUGUGUAGGCGGUGCUCUAAGUUCGGUGUGAAAUCUCCUGGCUUAACUGGGAGGGUGCGCCGGAAACUGGAGUGCUUGAGCGUGGGAGAGGAAAGCGGAAUUCCUGGUGUAGCGGUGAAAUGCGUAGAUAUCAGGAGGAACACCUGUGGCGUAGACGGCUUUCUGGACCAUAGCUGACGCUGAGACACGAAAGCGUGGGUAGCAAACAGG
rnacentral:rRNA from 1 species